rnacentral:lncRNA from 1 species
UGCACGAACUCGAAGAGAAGGAAAGUACUUCCUACAUUAGAACUUCGGAAGGAACUGCUCUCUCUCGCUCGCUCUUUUCUUUGCACAGGUUUGUAGUAUAAUCCCUAUCUUAAAUUGUUGUUUUUGUUUUCAAUUUGUCUCAAAUUAGUUGAAUUAUUGUGUUUAUAUAUUUUUUCUAUUUCAGUACAUCAGAAGGUUUAUUCAAUUUACAACUCCUCUGAUCAAUUAUACCACUCUGGGCCUGUUACUUCUUUUACAAAGCAAGGUAUAUCAUCUCUCUUCCAUGGGGGUUUUUAAUCUAUAAAUUGUGUUUUCAAAAUUGGAUGCAUUUUUUAACAUUUCUUUAAGUUCAUUUUCUCUAAUUGGGAUAAAUGGCUGAUUGUCACCACUUUUAGUCUGCUGCUUUGGUGACCUUCUCUGUCACCACUUUACUCUGCUGCUUGUCAUAUCUAUGUAGUUGUCUUUGUUGUAUCUUUGUUAUUGUAUUGCUACAUGACGAUGCUACUCUAGCAUGUUGAUUUGGAUGUAUUAAUGCUUUGAAUUUUGAAUUAAAUUAUUAUAAAAAGUUUAAGUAAAUUUUUUUUUUCUGCAACUAUUGGUAUAUGUAUCAAGUUCAUAUCUGAGUUGAGGAUAUUUUGUUUUUAAAACAUUUUUUUUUAAGUUAAGCUUAGGGUUUUACAGGUAUACACUGCACCAGUUUUGUCCCCCCCUCCGGUGUUUCAUUAUUUUUGAAACGUCAAAUACUUUUGCUCCUCUCAACUCGUACCAUAUAGCCAAUAGCUCUUGAGUUAUAACUGAUUUCACUGCUGAUCGACCCUCCAAUGUAGUGUAGCUAAGCAACUCCAUUAGCAUCUCUCAGGAGCCCUCCAUAACCAGCCCUUUCCUUUUCAACUGAGCCAUUGCAACUCAACUGAGUUACAUCAUCUGUUGGUGACUUCCAUCUACAAUAAACAAGCUGACUUUGAAUUAGAUCAACUUGUAGCCCAAUUCUGUCCAAUAGAACCCUUGCACUGAUAGUGUCAGACACUUCUUUCAACUGAGCUUGUAAGUAGAACUUAGUACUAUCUCUAAGUAUCCUCUCUAACACAAAUCUUUUUUUUUUAUUUUUUGCUUCAGUUCUUUUUCCACCAUGUUUCCUAGCAUUUCUCAGCCCAUAACUGGUACACAGUGGUGCUAACAUAGACUAAUGAUCUCAGCAACAAUCUCCUUCCUUCUGCAUAUAUUAUGAAUGUUUUUUCACUCCCAAUUAGAACUCCUAGAGUCAAUAGACAAAUUCAACAGCCUCUUCACCCCAGCCAAUACUUGCUUACUGUAGGAAUUUUGUGGUUAAAACAUAUUUGGCCUAUAUUUUGAGAUUUAUUUUGUGGUUAUUAGAAGAUAAUGCCUCCUCUAAUAUCUAAGACUGUACGGUAUCACUUUAAUUUUGAGAAUUUUUUGUGUAUCAACUCUUCAAUUAAGUGUGCAAGGUGAUGGAUAGUUAGGUACUGCGAUUAGUUUAAUCAAUAUUGGUUAUUGACUUAGUUUUGAUUUCUCUUCCACUUGUUUUGGUUAUUGGGUUAAUUAUGAUUUUAAGCCAAUGAAGUUCUUCUCUACUUGUUUCUUCUUCCAGAUUUCUUCAUGGGUAUAAUGGCUUUACAGUUAGAAAAAAUAGGAGAUGUUUUAUUUCUAUGUUUUAGUAGAGAAUGUAAUCUACCUCCAUAUAUAUGUAUUGUGAUUUGUGAAAUCCAAAUUUGUAUCAUUAUGUGUCUUUACUUUUGCAGGUUGCACAACAGGAAUAUGAAAAGGAAAUGUUUAACAAAAGAACCGCUAAGCUUUAAGGUGGUGUUGCUGUUAUUCGAUCAGGUAACUCUAGCUUAAGGAACAUAUCUGAAUUAAAAACAUGCAUGGUCUUUUGUUGUUUAUUGGAAAUAAUUUAUCUAUAUGUUCUUAUUUAAAUCACCAAGUUGGAACUCAAGCUUAGAUAAAGAUAAAAGAAAUUGAGAGUAGAAGAUGCUUUUGUAAACAUUCUUUAACCGUACCAAAAGGUUUGUGUGCCCUACAUUUCUCCUCAACCUAUUAAUAUUUUUCAUAUCUUUUUAUUAUCUAUCAGACUAUUAUCAAACAAAUUUAUUUUCUGAAAGAUUGCAACUUUUUAGUUUUAUUUCAACUGGUUUUAAGAGGUAGUGUUUUUAACCUGCAGGCAAAGUGGACAAGAGGUCGGACUCCAACCCCAGGCAGGUACCUUGGGUUAAAAAGUAUACAUGGUAUGACCCUAUCCUUUAAGUUGGCUUGUAAUAAAAACGUCAAAUUGAGCUUCAGGGACUUCUCCAAAUAGUUAACGUCAUUGUUGUACACACCUAACACACAUCUAUUCAUCGUACUAGAGAACUUUACAUCUUUUUGUUUAAUCUUUAUACAUUUGACGGUUCACUGCAUUGUGUUGUCUAAUGUGCUUAAAUAUGUUCCAAUGUCGAAGAUCUCCAAGGUACUGCAAUGGUUGUCGUGUUGGCAUGAUUAGAAAAGUUUUAAGUAUCAUCAAUGACCCUAAUGUUGUUGCGUCAUAUGGUUUGCUCAACUCCCUUAUCUAUUUAUCUAUGAUAUCAAAUUAUUAGUGAAAUUGACUACAAUAUUUAUCUGAUUAAUGAUUAAUAAUAGAUGUUUAUCAUAUGAAUAAUUAAUUACUAUUUAAUUCUAUUUUGUGUGUAGAUGGUAACUUAGAUCUGAUGGAAAGAGCUACAAGAUAAUGCAAGUAAUGGAUAGAUUGGGCCAGAUCGAUAUAAUUAAUGCAUCUUAUCGAUGCUUAAUUGCAUAUGUUUUGAUGCAAAUUACUUUCUAUGAAUGGCAA